GUAGGUGGUUUGUCGCGUCGUCUGUGAAAUUCCGGGGCUUAACUCCGGGCGUGCAGGCGAUACGGGCAUAACUUGAGUACUGUGGGGGUAACUGGAACUCCUGGUGUAGCGGUGAAAUGCGCAGAUAUCAGGAGGAACACCGAUGGCGAAGGCAGGUUACUGGGCAGUUACUGACGCUGAGGAGCGAAAGCAUGGGUAGCGAACAGGAUUAGAUACCCUGGUAGUCCAUGCCGUAAACGGUGGGCGCUAGGUGUGAGGGCCUUUUCACGACUUUCGUGCCGUAGCUAACGCAUUAAGCGCCCCGCCUGGGGAGUACGGCCGCAAGGCUAAAACUCAAAGGAAUUGACGGGGGCCCGCACAAGCGGCGGAGCAUGUGGAUUAAUUCGAUGCAACGCGAAGAACCUUACCUGGGCUUGACAUACACUGGAUCGGGCUAGAGAUAGUCUUUCCCUUUGUGGCUGGUGUACAGGUGGUGCAUGGUUGUCGUCAGCUCGUGUCGUGAGAUGUUGGGUUAAGUCCCGCAACGAGCGCAACCCUUGUCUUAUGUUGCCAGCAUUUGGUUGGGGACUCAUGAGAGACUGCCGGGGUCAACUCGGAGGAAGGUGGGGAUGACGUCAAAUCAUCAUGCCCCUUAUGUCCAGGGCUUCACACAUGCUACAAUGGUCGGUACAACGCGCAGCGACACUGUGAGGUGGAGCGAAUCGCUGAAAGCCGGCCUUAGUUCGGAUUGGGGUCUGCAACUCGACCCCAUGAAGUCGGAGUCGCUAGUAAUCGCAGAUCAGCAAUGCUGCGGUGAAUACGUUCCCGGGCCUUGCACACACCGCCCGU
rnacentral:rRNA from 1 species